UUAAACCCUACGUUCAUUAGACUUGACUCGUAUUUUCUUUCAUUCACAGACGGCGAUGGCGGAUUCUUCAAGCAACUCCAAGGAUAAGAACAACACGCGCCUCUACCAUCCCUACAAGGACCUCAACGUUCCAAUCCAAAAACUCUAUAACCUCCCCACCGCGCCGGAGCACCUCUUCUCGGAAGAAGCCGCCAGGACCCACCGAUCCUGGGGCGACAACCUCCAGUAUUACACCGGCACCGCCUACCUCUCCGGUGCAAUCAUCGGCGCCACCAGAGGCACCGUCCAGGGCCUCCGAGAGGCCGAGUCCGGCGACUCCCUCAAAAUCCGUCUCAACCGAGUGCUCAACUCAGGCGGCCACGCGGGUCGCAAACUCGGCAACUCGCUCGGCGUCCUGGGUCUCAUCUUCGCCGGCCUCGAGAGUGGGAUGAUCCACGCCAGGGGCACCGAUGACUUAGUCAACAGCGCCGUCGCCGGACUCGGCACCGGAGCGCUCUACAGGGCUGCGGCCGGACCUCGAUCAGCCGCCAUAGCCGGUGCCAUCGGAGGGAUCGCCGCGGCGGCGGCGGUUGGAGGAAAGCAGGCUUUGAAGAGAUACAUACCGAUCUAGCGAAGGAUUAGAAAUUGUGCUACUUGGUAAACAACCCAUGUGAUGAAAAUUGACUCAACAUGCAUGACCUGCUACUUUUUACAGAAUUUGUGUCUGAGCUGGCAUUGGCAUGGGUUUGAAGGAGUGUGAACAUUAGCUGCGCACAUGUGAAGGUUAACUUAUAGCAUAAUAUAUAAAAAAUAUAUGAAAUGGAAAAUGGUGGGGUUUUUGGUAAUUUCGAAAAGGCAGCAUCAUUAUACAGCUGUAGGCCACAUGGAAUUUUGUUCUGAGAGAAAGCUCUCCACUAACAUAUGAUCAGACGCCAGCUCAUUCGUGUUUUUUGGUACAUCUAUAUUACUCCACCAUUUAAACUUAAUCA